UAGGGAAUCUUCCACAAUGGMCGMAAGYCUGAUGGAGCAACGCCGCGUGAGUGAAGAAGGGUUUCGGCUCGUAAAACUCUGUUGUUAAAGAAGAACAUAUCUGAGAGUAACUGUUCAKGUAUUGACGGUAUUUAACCAGAAAGSCACGGCUAACUACGUG
rnacentral:rRNA from 1 species